GUGUCAGCCGCCGCGGUAAUACGAGUGGAGCGAGCGUUGUUCGGAAUCACUGGGCGUAAAGCGUGCGCAGGCGGUUAUGAAAGUCAGAAGUGAAAUCCCAGGGCUCAACCUUGGAAUUGCUUUUGAAACUUCAUGACUAGAGUACUGGAGAGGUUAGCGGAAUUCCGAGUGUAGAGGUGAAAUUCGCAGAUAUUCGGAGGAACACCAAUGGCGUAGGCAGCUAACUGGACAGUAACUGACGCUCAUGCACGAAAGCGUGGGGAUCAAACAGGAUUAGAUACCCCUGUAGUCC
rnacentral:rRNA from 1 species